ACAUGCAAGUCGAGGGGCAGCACGGACUUCGGUCUGGUGGCGACCGGCAAACGGGUGCGGAACACGUACGCAACAUACCCCUAUCUGGGAGAUAGCCUUCUGAAAAGGAGAUUAAUACCCCAUAGCAUUAUUAGUUGGCAUCAACUUGAUAAUUAAAGAUUUAUUGGAUAGGGAUUGGCGUGCGUCCUAUUAGCUAGUUGGUAGGGUAACGGCCUACCAAGGCGACGAUAGGUAGCUGGUGUGAGAGCACGACCAGCCACACGGGCACUGAGACACGGGCCCGACUCCUACGGGAGGCAGCAGUGAGGAAUAUUGGUCAAUGGACGCAAGUCUGAACCAGCCAUGCCGCGUGAAGGAUGAAGGCGUUCUGCGUUGUAAACUUCUUUNACCAUCNNGCGANNNNCACCUGGAUAUUCUUAUUCAGCCGACGGUACCCGAGGAAUAAGCACCGGCUAACUCCGUGCCAGCAGCCGCGGUAAUACGGAGGGUGCAAGCGUUAUCCGGAUUUACUGGGUUUAAAGGGUGUGUAGGCGGAUUAUUAAGUCAGUGGUGAAAUCCCGAGGCUCAACCUCGGAACUGCCAUUGAUACUAUUAGUCUUGAAUGUUGUGGAGGUGGGCGGAACGGGUCAUGUAGCGGUGAAAUGCAUAGAUAUGACCCGGAACACCGAUUGCGAAGGCAGCCCGCUACGCAACGAUUGACGCUGAGGCACGAAAGCGUGGGGAUCAAACAGGAUUAGAUACCCUGGUAGUCCACGCCCUAAACGAUGAUUACUCGACGUGUGCGAUACACUGUACGCGUCCAAGCGAAAGCAUUAAGUAAUCCACCUGGGAAGUACGUUCGCAAGAAUGAAACUCAAAGGAAUUGACGGGGGUCCGCAGCUGGUGGAGGUCGCUAGAUGGUCAGGCCAGGGUGGAGGUCGCUAGAUGGUC
rnacentral:rRNA from 1 species